GACGUAGGAUGCAAGCGUUGUCCGGAUUUAUUGGGCGUAAAGAGUUCGUAGGUGGUUUGUUAAGUCUGAUGUUAAAGACUGGGGCUCAACCUCGGAAAUGCAUUGAUACUGGCAGACUUGAGUGUGGUAGAGGCAAUCGGAAUUCCAGGUGUAGCGGUGAAAUGCGUAGAUAUCUGGAAGAACACCGGUGGCGCAAGCGGAUUGCUGGGCCAUAACUGACACUGAGGAACGAAAGCUAGGGGAGCAAAUGGG
rnacentral:rRNA from 1 species